ACCAGCUGUCCUGCUUUGCCUGGGACUGAGGGGCUUCCCUGGUAGCACAGCAGUUAAAGUGCUCA
rnacentral:miRNA from 1 species